CGAAUUUGACGCAAAAAUAAUGAAAUUUAAAUACACACAUAGAUAUGUCUAUUGAUAUGAACAAGUUUAUAAAAGUUUAGCGCCCACGUUCCAAUAUGUAGGUAUGUGUCACGUGAUCGCAUGUAGAUCGCAACGAUUGGUCGAUUCUUCGCUACACACUUGGGUCAUUCGGACAAAAAAGAGUCGACGAUGUGAUUUGUUUAAUCUUCGAAAACCUGAGUUUGUUUAUGUUAGACGUCGGCUAAAUACUUGUUAACACUCGAGUGGAGUUUAAUCCGGUUUGGUUGUGGCGUAAGUUUAUAUAUAUAUUGAGUCCGAAGCGGCUUUUGGUUUUCUAAGAAGGGAGACUUUACGUAAAUAUUGUGCAUAAACGUGUAAUCACGUGUAAAGCAGCGUGAUGUAAUCACCACUUUUGUAACACAUUGUGAUCUUUGUAACAAGAAGAAAAUGAAGUUGAAUGGAAAAUUGUUGCCAAUUUUAUUUGGUAUAUCUUUGACAACUUUUGGUCUAUCCAUAGCAGUUUUGCUGUAUCCUUUAUUAAGAAAGAAUAAAAAUAAUAAUGAAGAAAAGAAGUGUUGGUCAAAGAAAUCUGAAAAAAGCAAAAAACCUAUAAGAUGUGGAGUAAUAGUGCCUAAGCAGUGUGUGUCUGCUAUAAUUGGUAGAAGUGGUUCUGUGAUUAAGGAAAUACAAACAAAAACUAAUACAUAUAUUAAAAUAGAGAAAAACAAAGAUUUGGAGUCUCAACAUGUUACUAUCACCGUACAAGGUGAUGAAAUGGAAUAUAUUAUGUUGGCAAAAUGUUUAAUUAAUGAGAAAGUAGAGAAUCAUAAAAAAAUCAAGACUUGUAAGAUGAUAUUUCUAUCAAAUAGUCAGCAUGCUCAAAUAUCACGUGAAGCAGAAUACUUACAAAGAGUUUCAGGUGCAAAACUUAGUUUUAUAAGCAAUUUACGUAAAGGUGAUAUAAAAGAACAGAAGCUAUUAAUAAAGGGUACUACUGAAGAAAUAGAAAAAGCUACAUCUGAGAUAGAGAAAAUAUAUCUAAAAAAAGAGGAUAGUAACAAAACUAAUUACGACAAUCUCGACACUUCAAUGUCAAAUUCUUCUCUUGAAGUGUACGUAUCUGCGAUUGAGUCACCAGAUCAGUUUUGGAUUCAAGUGGUAGGACCUAAACUCAACGAGUUUGAGAAAUUAGAGAGUGAAAUGACAAAAUAUUAUGAUAAUAAAAACAUUCGCGAAUCUCAUUUGUUAUCUAAGAUAGAAGUAAACAAACUUGUAGCAGCCAAAUAUGAGGACAAAUGGUAUCGUGCAGAAAUAAUAGAUGUUAACUUGCCUCUGUGCACAGUUUAUCUUUUGGAUUAUGGAAAAAUUGUGAAGAACUUUUCUAUUGAUAACAUAUUGGAACUCUGCACGGACAUGUUGAGCCUGCGAGUUCAAGCAAUAGAGUGUAAACUGGGAUACGUAUAUCCGUUGGAAAAACUUGAAUGGUCUUCGGAUACCAUAGAAGCGUUUUCUGCUUUGGUUCAACCAGGGGAAAAGAAAGUUCUCACCGCUAAACGUUUAGACUACAUAAAACGGCCGAACACAUUUUAUCGUAAAAACAAAUGGGUUCUUGAGCUCGCUCUUUAUACCGAAAAUUUUACUGACGUAGCUCAGGUUCUGGUUGGUCUGCAACUUGCUAAGACAGUUUUACCAUGUAACGAUUUCUUUUCAAAAUCAUUAAUUGAAGAAUGCAAGGAACAAGAAAAUGAAUCAAAGAAUGACGUUUAGCUUUAUCAGAAACUUUAAAAAUUCGUACUUGGACUUCUAACAAGUUUGUUUCUAAAUCCGAGUGAUUUAGCGGAACAGAACUUUGCCGCACGCUUCAGCGACUCGCGAUCAUGCCAUCUCAGCGACAAUUGACUUGUCGAGAUAAAGCAUGGUGCAAGAAGUAACCAGAAGUAAUUGUCGGUUCCUUCUAGUAAGACUAGAAAGCUGUGGUGAAGCAAAACGUAUAAAACUGCGGUAACGGAGUUCCUCUCUUUAGUUUGGCGAACCGAACUGCCACGUUUGCUUUCAUCAAUUUCAAUUUUCAUCACAAGAGAGAACAAUGAAUCAUCUGAGUAUCGCAUUGACAUUGCUGUGCGUCAUAUACGGUGUGCUAGGAGGCAGACGUUACAUUGCGAUCUCCGUUGACGGUAUCGACGGCAUCGACGUCAUCGAGGUGAAUCCAAUUGUAUCUUCUCUCUCAAGGGUGGCACGACAAACAGAAGCGUAUCUUCCGGCUGUCGUUCAGCCCAGUGUCGUUCAGGACGAGUCCGAGGGACAACGUUCUGAGCGAGCGACAACGCGCGUUCUGGACUACGUUGACUUCGGAGGACACACCGGAUCUAAUGGGGCCUUCAGCUGGUAUGCCGAUUACCCGGCGCAUCGUUUGUAAAACCUUCGACUUUACCGCAUGGAAGAACAAAAUUAAACAGGAAGAGGGGCUGUUUUCCGCCUAAACGCAGAAAGGAUGUUUUAAUAAUCGAACAAUUCUCUUAUAAGAUACACGCAAAGGUUUUUCCGAGACGAUAAUGUGCCUUACAUUGUAAUUCAGAGUUUUAUUUUCUGGUAUUUUGUUACGAUACAAUAAAUAGUGUGAGAGGGAUUGACAA